rnacentral:rRNA from 1 species
AUGUGCGCCGAGGCUCUCGCUCUGCUCCGGCAGCAGGAGCCAUGGUUCGUCUCGCUCGCCAUCCUCGGCGCCCUCUACGUCGCAGCCGUCGCGUACCGCCUCCUCCACACGUCCGGCCUCGCGCUCUGCCUGCGCGGGCCCAAGGACCUACGCCGCCGCUACGGGGCGUGGGCCGUCGUCACCGGCCCGACGUCCGGCAUCGGCCGCUCCAUGGCCCUCGAGCUCGCGCGGCGCGGCCUCAACCUCGUCCUUGUCGGCCGCGACCCCGGCGCGCUCCAGGACAUCGCCGGAACCGCCUCCGACACCCACGGCGUGCUGACCAAGACCGUGCAGUUCGACUUCUCGCUCGUCUCCACGCCUCAAGGGGAGGAGGCGAUGGGGCGGCUCCGGCAGGCGGUGGAGCGGCUGGAGGUGGGCGUGCUGGUGAACAACGCCGGCGUGGCGACGCCGCAUGCGACGUACCUGCACGAGGCCGACGCAGAGGCGUGGGUGAGAAUGAUACGGGUGAACCUGUGGGCCGUGACGGAGGUGACGGCGGCCGUGCUUCCCGGCAUGGUGGAGCGCGGGAGGGGCGCCGUCGUCAACAUCGGCUCAGGCGCGGCGGAGGCGCUGCCCUCCUACCCGCUCUACUCCGUCUACGCCGCCACCAAGCGGUACGUUUCCCAGUUCUCCCGCAGCCUCUGCGUUGAGUACAGGGGCAAAGGAAUCGACGUGCAGUGCCAGGCCCCGCUGUACGUGGACACGAAGAUGGUGACCAACAUGGUGACGCGGGGAGGCCUCCUGUCGCGGCUGAUCAUGCCGACGUCGGACGCUUACGCCGGCGCGGCCGCUCGCUGGAUCGGGCACCGCCGCCCGGUCUGCAUGCCCAACCUCGGCCACCGGCUGCAGUGGUGCCUCUGCCACUUCGUCCCGGACCGUGCCCUCGCCGCGCACCGCCUCCGCGAGAACCUUCGGCAGCGGGCCGUCUUCCAGCUGCUCAGGUCAUCAUCAGGCGAGGGAAUCGGUGGACGUCGUUAG